rnacentral:lncRNA from 1 species
AUGAGCCAGAAACUGAAGCACUCCGGAGCAGGUAUUCCUGGAGAAAAGGUUGAAAACCACUGCUUGAGGUUCAGCAAUUUAUUACCAACCCCUGCCCCAACAAGAAGUAGCUGCCAAACAGAAAUGGAAUAUAACUGUACACAGCAGGAGACAAAACCUCACUUCGUCCCCCUUUCAGAUGUCUCAAAGGGAAGAAGAGAUAUAGGAGAAGUGGGUGUGAACACAUAUAAAAGAAAGGAGAAGGACAGGCUGAUACUGAUGUUGUCUGAUAAUUUCUCAAACAUCCAGAGCACUUCUAUUUGUGAAGGUCUUGUACCACAAUGCUUCUACUGAUUAGCGCCAACACUAGCAAGGCUUAGGCUGGAAAGGAUGACAAAUAGACAAGACAUCUGGCUUGCCAAAUUAUUGUCUGAAACGGAAAAUGAAUUGUCACUGUUGUUUGUCUUGGUGUGGUGAUUAGAUGGCACUGCAGUUUUUGCGUUACCCAAUGGUACGGGCAUCUCUUCACAUACCCACAUUUUACUGCAUUGCUUUGGUGAUGCAGUUUUCUUAGCGGGGCAGCUAUAGAUCCAGACUCCCAAGAGGAAACGUAUUAACAUUCAUCUCGGUGACCCAUUUUCAGCAGUAUGGGAGCUGCAGAGCAAAUAUCUCAACAGUGCUUUCUCCCAGAUCACUCAAAGUCCCUGAAAAUUUCCCGUUACACCCCCAAGAAUCCAAAAAGGAAUUACAGUUUGCAAAACUCACUCUUCAGGUAACUGACAGAAACAUUUCAAUAAAAACCAGCUGGCUCUAAGUUGUUUGCCA